GAUGAACGCUGGCGGCGUGCCUAAUACAUGCAAGUCGAGCGAAUGGAUUAAGAGCUUGCUCUUAUGAAGUUAGCGGCGGACGGGUGAGUAACACGUGGGUAACCUGCCCAUAAGACUGGGAUAACUCCGGGAAACCGGGGCUAAUACCGGAUAACAUUUUGAACCGCAUGGUUCGAAAUUGAAAGGCGGCUUCGGCUGUCACUUAGGGAUGGACCCGCGUCGCAUUAGCUAGUUGGUGAGGUAACGGCUCACCAAGGCAACGAUGCGUAGCCGACCUGAGAGGGUGAUCGGCCACACGGGGGCUGAGACACGGCCCAGACGCCUACGGGAGGCAGCAGUAGGGAAUCUUCCGCAAUGGACGAAAGUCUGACGGAGCAACGCCGCGUGAGUGAUGAAGGCUUUCGGGUCGUAAAACUCUGUUGUUAGGGAAGAACAAGUGCUAGUUGAAUAAGCUGGCACCUUGACGGUACCUAACCAGAAAGCCACGGCUAACUACGUGCCAGCCGCCGCGGUAA
rnacentral:rRNA from 1 species